GGUCACUCUAGGCCCCGCAGCACUGUGCUGGAUGUUGCAGCUGCCUAGGAGUGAUUUC
rnacentral:pre_miRNA from 1 species